ACAAGAACCGGCGGCGGCGGCGGCAGCAGCAGCAGCAGCAGCAGCAGCAGCAGCAACUGGAUUUGCUUUUUCACCAGAGGAUCCAGAUUUCCCUGUGGCCUUGCAAACAAAAAAGAAGGAAGACGGAGCAGCACAGUCAUCCCUUUGUGAAAAAAGCAUUCAGGUGGUUGAGGGGAGACUCAGUGAAGUCUUGGGGGUUCAGAGCUACACUGCCAGCCUCUGGGACAGCAGCCCCAGUGUCCCCCGACCCAGGCCUUGCUCCUCCCUGCUGAUGAACGCCCACUCUGCUCCCAGAUGCACACCUGUCCUGAAGACACCCGGUUCUCAUGCUCUUCUCUGCAGCACCUGAAUUGGGCAUUCCUGGGUAAAGCAGUUUAAGUUACUUUCACUUUUAUCCACUUGUUUCCGUUAUUUCAACCAUGCAUGUCCCUUGUGUAUGUAGGAUAAAGCUGUCUAAGAAUAAAGGUCCAUGAUUUAAAGUUUUUUCCUCUUCUUUCCCUGUCCUGACCACCUGAUCAUAAACUUGUAGAAAUAAAGUGGAUCUCAUGUUGUGUAUCUUUC
ensembl:lncRNA FAM157D family with sequence similarity 157 member D